GUGUAGUCAUGGGGGCAGCCAUUCAAGUACAGGAUACACAGUAGAUAACUGAUAAGUUCUGAAGAAUCUCAUUGUUUACUACAGCAUAUAUCUGUUAUCCUGUGCCUUUUCUAUUUUUUCAGCUUUGAAUGGCUGCCCCCAUGGCUACACAGCAGCUUGUUUCAUAUAAAUUAUAGUUGACCGUUUCUGAAGCAAACACACCAGAUUUACCAGUGCAGGGCAGUACAUUAUAUUUUCAUUACUUUAGGAUACUUUCAUUUUUUGGUGUUAAUGUUCCUUUUAGUAAAGCCUCUGAGUUUUGUUUUGAUUGUAGCUUUCCAGGUGUAAUAACCCCAAGUUUCUCCUUCAUAGAUGAAAGAUGUCUGGAGUACCUCUUUGGGGCAUAGUUGUUCAUCCCUGCGUUAAAAUAUUCCCGGCUCCCGUCAUUUCAGGGUCUAACAAAUACAUCAUUGAUUCAGAAGGUUCUAAAACAAUAUAUAUAAGUAUUAGUUGUGCUGAUUUUACUGGGAAUAUAUAGGAGUGAUUACAUUGAACCAAAAUGAAUUGUCUAAAUAAACACACCAAGAAAAAAAAACAAAAAAAACCAUUUUCUCUAUGAAUUAGUAUUUUUCUGUAGACCCUAUGGGCUGAGCCUCCACCUUUUGUGUGGUGUGGGGUCUCCCACUCAUUUCACUUGCUUCCAAAUCUGUGCUAGUGUACCUACUAUCAUUCUUACCUACUAUCAUUAUUACCUACUAUUAUUCUUACUUACUAUCAUUCUUACCUACUAUCAUUCUAACUUACUAUCUUUCUUACAUACUGUCAUUCUUGCCUACUAUCAUUCUUACCUACUAUCAUUCUAACUUACUGUCAUUCUUGCCUACUAUCAUUCUUGCCUACUAUCAUUCUUAUCUACUAUCAUUCUAACUUACUAUCAUUCUAACUUACUAUCAUUCUAACUUACUGUCAUUCUUACCUACUGUCAUUAUUACCUACUGUCAUUCUUACCUACUGUCAUUCUUACCUACUGUCAUUCUUACCUACUGUCACUCUUACCUACUGUCAUUCUUACCUACUGUCAUUCUUACCUACUGUCAUUCUUACCUACUGUCAUUCUUACCUACUGUCAUUCUUACCUACUGUCAUUCUUACUUACUAUCAUUCUGUACAGCUGGUGAGCCGAGCUCUUCCCAAGCAAGAUAUCCACAUCCUCCUCCCUGCCAGGAAGCCUGUGCCUAUGGAUGAAAGGCUGUACACAUGACAUAAUAUUAUUGCACUGCAGCAUUGGAACAUGUUAAAACUGCUGUACAGCCAUACUCCAAAGAGCCUGCAAAGUAAAGAACACGACUCGCCCUUGAUUGCAUUAGAUAGGGAAGCAGAAAAACAACUGGUUGCCAUUAAUAGAUUUCUACAGUUCUAUGAUGGGGAAGAGUUUGAAAACAACAAGAAAACAACAGAAGUGCCGAUGAAGUUCGAGAACAAGGCAUGAAACGCGUCAGAUGACUGCACAUGUCAUGAGUUCAGGAGAUACUGUAAGUCUCCCAAACGAUACCUGUUCACUGUUUUUAACACAAACCUGGCAAUAAAGUUUUUUUCAAUAAAGUUUUUUUCAAUUUUAACUCGUGACCUAGGGAGACUCCGCGUAAGGCUACUGAAGUACACGGCACACUUAAGAGAGGUACAGAAGAACAUGGCUUGCACAGAACUAGCUAACAGAUUCCAUAUACAUUCAAAUAGCUUAACAUUUGGAUACCAUCAUAAGGAGCAUGUUGCCUUUAUUAUAUUUGUACUUUUAAACAGUACCUAACUGUUUUUUUUUUUUUUAUGUCCCCAAAGUGAUCCCUUUCCUAGUGCUGAUUUGCCUGUGCUGUUGGGUGACAGAGGUGAUAAUCCUUGAGCUCAUUGGUGCCUUAUAGGGAGCCAGUAAUUGUGCUCAACUGUAUGACUGUAUUCUUUUAGGCCUAGGGCACAUUGGCGUUUUGACUGCUGCUGUUCUCUCUCAGGGAAAACCAUGACUGUCAAACUUUAAUAUAUAAAGCAGGAUGUUUUAUUUCGCUCCACCAGGAAAUCUAACUGGAUGGGAGCGCACCAGAGAGAAAGGAACUAUGGGUGGGUGGGGUGCACCAUCACACCAUCAGAGACACACACAUCUGUUAAGUUCCCUUUCCAAGUUUUUGAUACAUUGUAAUCCACUAUUUAAAGGCUUUUUCUGCAGCCAAACAACUGAGGAGAAUAUUACUCAAGCACUCUUGUGCAUCUGGGACUCUGCGCACUGAAGGGUGUGCCCCGAAAAGCUGUGAAACUGCAAGCGCUACUUCAUUCUGUAAAAAACGAUGAGUGGCGUGUAAUGGAUUGAAUCCCUCCUUUGGCCAACAUAGAUCCUUACAGUUGUAGGGCUGCUGAGCCUCUGCGCUGGUAUGGUAACUGGAAAUACAUAAGACUAGAACAAAAUGGCACCUAUAUCUGGGCACCGCUAACAUCAUAGAUAAAGUGCAUUCCAAUUUAGCAAUUUAUAACUGUUUGAAGGCAGAGUUACUUGAUGUAUCCAUCAAUGUGUGUAUGUCACUCCUGUUAUAUUUCAGCUUGUGCAUUGUAGGGCUGGGAAGCAAGACUCUUGGGUUUAUCUUGACAAGAGAACCACCUGACGGUCAAGUUCCUUCCCCUGCAUUAACUUGGGCCUUUGUGAAAAUGUUUUCAUCCUUCCAUUAUACACGAUACAGUUCCACACUUUUCAAUAACACAGGUUACGCUGCGUUACUUGUCUGUUUCUUCAGGCAAGCAUGGUGAUGGAAUUGGCAAUGGAUAAUAUAAUGCAGGGAUCAGGAACCUUGGCUCUCCAGCUGUUAAGGAACUACAAGUCCCACAAUGCAAUAAU